rnacentral:rRNA from 1 species
GACGAACGCUGGCGGCGUGCUUAACACAUGCAAGUCGAACGGAAAGGCCCUGCUUUUGUGGGGUGCUCGAGUGGCGAACGGGGGAGUAAGACGUGAGUAACCUGCCCGUGACUUUGGGAUAACUUCAGGAAACUGGGGCUAAUAGCGGAUAGGAGCUCCUGGUGCAUGGUGGGGGGUGGAAAGUUUGGGCGGUUGGGGAUGGACUCGCGGCUUAGCAGCAUGUUGGUGGGGUAGUGGCUUACCAAGGCUUUGACGGGGAGGCGGCCUGAGAGGGUGACCGGCCACAUUGGCACUGAGCUACGGCCCGGCCGCCUUCGGGAGUCAGGAGUGAGGAGUAGUGCACAAUGGGCGGAAGCCUGCUUCAGCAACGCCGCGUGUGGGAUGACGGCCUUCGGGUUGUAACCCGCUUUCGCCUGUGACGAAGCGUGAGUGACGGUAAUGGGUAAAGAAGCACCGGCUAACUACGUG